CCUACGGGAGGCAGCAGUGGGGAAUAUUGCACAAUGGGGGAAACCCUGAUGCAGCAACGCCGCGUGAAGGAAUACGGUUUUCGGAUUGUAAACUUCUGUUCUUAGUGAAGAAUAAUGACGGUAGCUAAGGAGCAAGCCACGGCUAACCACGUGCCAGCAGCCGCGGGAAUACGUAGGUGGCAAGCGUUGUCCGGAAUUACUGGGUGGAAAGGGAGCGCAGGCGGGAAGCCAAGUCAGCUGUGAAAACUACGGGCUUAACUUGUAGACUGCAGUUGAAACUGGUUUUCUUGAGUGAAGUAGAGGUUGGCGGAAUUCCGGGUGUAGCGGUGAAAUGCGUAGAUAUUCGGAGGAACACCGGUGGCGAAGGCGGCCAACUGGGCUUUAACUGACGCUGAGGCUCGAAAGUGUGGGGAGCGAACAGGAUUAGAUACCCGGGUAGUC
rnacentral:rRNA from 1 species